CCUACGGGGGGCAGCAGUGAGGAAUAUUGGUCAAUGGACGAGAGUCUGAACCAGCGACGUAGCGUGAAGGAUGACUGCCCUAUGGGUUGUAAACUUCUUUUAUAUGGGAAUAAAACGUUCCACGUGUGGGAUUUUGUAUGUACCAUAUGAAUAAGGAUCGGCUAACUCCGUGCCAGCAGCCGCGGUAAUACGGAGGAUCCGAGCGUUAUCCGGAUUUAUUGGGUUUAAAGGGAGCGUAGGUGGAUUGUUAAGUCAGUUGUGAAAGUUUGCGGCUCAACCGUAAAUUUGCAGUUGAAACUGGCAGUCUUGAGUACAGUAGAGGUGGGCGGAAUUCGUGGUGUAGCGGUGAAAUGCUUAGAUAUCACGAAGAACUCCGAUUGCGAAGGCAGUUCACUGGACUGCAACUGACACUGAGGCUCGAAAGUGUGGGUAUCAAACAGGAUUAGAUACCCCAGUAGUC
rnacentral:rRNA from 1 species